rnacentral:rRNA from 1 species
GACGAACGCUGGCGGCGUGCUUAACACAUGCAAGUCGAACGGAAAGGCCUGUCCUUCCUUGUGUUGGACGGGUACUCGAGUGGCGAACGGGUGAGUAACACGUGAGUGAUCUGCCCCCAACUUGGGUAUAAGCCUGGGAAACUGGGUCUAAUUCCCGAUAGGACUGCAGGGUGGUGCCUGUGUUGGAAAACGAUUUUCUAGUGGUUGGGGAUGAGCUCGCGGCCUAUCAGCUUGUUGGCGGGGUAAUGGCCUACCAAGGCGGCGACGGGUAGCCGGCCUGAGAGGGUGGACGGCCACAGUGGGACUGAGAUACGGCCCAGACUCCUACGGGAGGCAGCAGUGGGGAAUAUUGCACAAUGGGCGGAAGCCUGAGGCAGCGACGCCGCGUGGGGGAUGACGGCCUUCGGGUUGUAAACUCCUUUCGACCGCGAGGAAGCCGCCUGGUUGGAAGGGUGGUGACGGUAGUGGUAGAAGAAGCACCGGCUAACUACGUG